rnacentral:tRNA from 1 species
GUAGAUAUAGCUUAUGUAAAGCACCCAACUGUUAAUUGGGAGAAAAAUCUUUCUGCG